UGGCGAACGGGUGAGUAACGCGUGAGGAACCUGCCUCAAAGAGGGGGACAACAGUUGGAAACGACUGCUAAUACCGCAUAAGCCCACGACCCGGCAUCGGGUAGAGGGAAAAGGAGCAAUCCGCUUUGAGAUGGUCUCGCGUCCGAUUAGCUAGUUGGUGAGGUAACGGCCUACCAAGGCGACGAUCGGUAGCCGGACUGAGAGGUUGAACGGCCACAUUGGGACUGAGACACGGCCCAG
rnacentral:rRNA from 1 species